UCAGGUUUUGAAAAAAAUAUCGACUUUGACUCAUCUCCAUCAACCCAGUGGAAAAAUGGGGUUGAGAAAAGGAAAAAAAGAAGCCUGCCCUGUUGCCUCCAAGGAUGAACCUGUUCUGUGGGUCAGGAUCCAUUCCAAGAGCUGCCCAGUUGGCAAGUGUGACAUGACAGGAUAGAGAUGAAGAUAUUCACAGGAGGUUGUGCCUUCCAUUUCUGUGGAGCCUCCACUCCCAAGGAAGAAGAUGGAAAAGACCAAAGCUUUUACCAUACAGGCCUGAGCAUUGCAUGCUUCUGCUACAGAAGAGGUUCAUGAGAUUUGUGUUACAAUGUAG